UACGUAGGGUGCAAGCGUUGUCCGGAAUUAUUGGGCGUAAAGAGCUCGUAGGCGGUCUGUCGCGUCGGCUGUGAAAACUCGGGGCUCAACUCCGAGCUUGCAGUCGAUACGGGCAGGCUAGAGUUCGGCAGGGGAGACUGGAAUUCCUGGUGUAGCGGUGAAAUGCGCAGAUAUCAGGAGGAACACCCGUGGCGAAAGCGGCUCUCUGGGACGGUACUGACGCUGAGACGCGAAAGCGUGGGGAGCAAACAGG
rnacentral:rRNA from 1 species